AGAGUUUGAUCUUGGCUCAGAAUCAACGCUGGCGGCGUGCCUAACACAUGCAAGUCGAACGCGAAAGGGGCUUCGGUCCUGAGUAGAGUGGCGAACGGGUGAGUAACACGUGGGUGAUCUACCUUCAAGUGGGGGAUAACGUUCCGAAAGGAACGCUAAUACCGCAUGAUGUCCUGGGUUUAAAGACCUGGAGACCAAAGCCGGGGACCGCAAGGCCUGGCGCUAGAAGAGGAGCCCGCGUCCGAUUAGCUAGUUGGCGGGGUAACGGCCCACCAAGGCGACGAUCGGUAGCCGGCCUGAGAGGGCGGACGGCCACACUGGAACUGAGACACGGUCCAGACUCCUACGGGAGGCAGCAGUGGGGAAUUGUUCACAAUGGGCGCAAGCCUGAUGACGCAACGCCGCGUGGGGGAUGAAGGUCUUCGGAUCGUAAACCCCUGUCGAACGGGACGAAAGACCUCGGAGCUAAUCAUCUGAGGAGUGACGGUACCGUUAAGGAAGCCACGGCUAACUCUGUGCCAGCCGCCGCGGU
rnacentral:rRNA from 1 species